UGAAAAUUAAAGGUUCUGGCGGUAUUUUAGUCCAUUCAGAGGAACCUGUUCCGUUAUUGAUAUUCCACGAUAGAUUAUACUGUUCGUUAAAGUUUGUAUAUCGUCGUAGUUUGAAGAUUUUAUAAGAAUUAAUCUUCAUAGGGUUUUAUUAUGAAAUAUAUCAGAUCAAGGUGCAGCUAAUAGAACAGUGGAAAUGGGUUACAUUAUUUUUAUUUAUGGAUUUUUAUAUGAAAAUUUUAAUGAAAUUGGAUUUGAUAGUAAUAAAGGUUUCUUACCCUUUAUGAUUUAGGCUCUAAAAUAUGUACAUAUCGCCCGUCGCUUUCACUUAAAUUGAAAUAAGUCGUAACAAAGUAGAUGUACUGGAAAGUGUAUCUGGAAUGACAAAUCAGAGCUUGGUAUAAGCAUUUUAUUUACAUUAAUAGGUUAACUGUGAAAUUCAGUUUGAUGAGUCUAAUUUUUUAUUAGGGUUUCUGUUUGUUAUUUUUUGUUAAAAUAUUAUUUUGUUUUAUUAAUGUUAUUGAAUUAAUUUAUUUUUAUUAUAGUUUAAUAGUACUGUGAAGGAACAAUAUUAAAUUUUUAAAAGAAAACUUGCUUUGUUGUACCUUGUGUGUCAGGGUUUAUUUAGAUAUUAGUUUUUAUAAAUUUAUCCCGAAAUCUAAAGAGCUAAUUUUAAAUAGAUUUUACUGUUUCAUAAGUAUUUAUAAUUUAAUUUUUGUAAUGAAAUGUUAUUCGUUUUGGAUUAUAUCUGGUUUAUUAAGAAUUUAAUUUAAUUAAUCCUUUUUAAACAGUGUAUUUAAUUAUUAAGUUUCUGUUUUUAAAGUAAAUAUUAUUUGGGAUGAGCUGGGUAGUAUAUUUUUAUAAGCAAUUCAUAUUUAUUUUCUCUAAGUAGGAUUAGAAGUUUCUAUCUUUGUAAGUGUUUUAUAACUAGUAGUGUUUAUAUUUUAUUUUGUUUGGCUUUGAUUAUUUUAUUAAUAUAAGUCAAUUAAUUUGGUUUUGAUUGUAAUAAUGAUAUAAUUAGUAUAUUUAAUUGUAAUUUUAAUUUUAUUAUUAAGGUUGAAUUAAGGAAUUCGGCAAAUUUGGUUUUCGCCUGUUUAAUAAAAACAUGUCCUCUUGAUUUUUAUAUGAGGUCUAGCCUGCCCACUGAUUUUUGAAUGGCUGCGGUAUUUUGACCGUACAAAGGUAGCAUAAUCAUUAGUUUUUUAAUUGUAAGCUUGUAUGAAUGGCUGGACGAGAGACCUGCUGUCUCAAUUUAAUUUUUUUAGAAUUUUAUUUUUGAGUUAAAAAGCUUAAAUAUUAUUGAAAGACGAGAAGACCCUAUAGAGUUUUAUGAUUAAGCGUUUAAUAAUGUUUUUGUAUCAUUGUAGUUUUUAUAUGUUUAUUUAUUUUGUUGGGGUGAUAGUAAAAUUUAUUUAACUUUUAUUUUUUAAUUA
rnacentral:rRNA from 1 species